CGCUUUCCUUGAUAAAAUUUAAGCGUUUUAUAAGAGGAUGCCGGGGAAGGUUUUCCGGUUUAUCCCGGAGGGCUUGUAGCUCAGUUGGUUAGAGCGCGCGCUUGAUAAGCGUGAGGUCGGAGGUUCAAGUCCUCCCAGGCCCACCAGUUUAUCCAUUACUUUCAUAAGUGCUUUUAAAAAAUAAGUACUUCUAAAAAGAUUGCUUCUAAAAAGAUUGCUUCUAAAAAGAUUGCUUCUAAAAAGAUUGCUUCUAAAAAGCUUAUCAAAAUUGGCAGGCUUAUUGCUUUUGUGUGAGUAAUCCAAAGUUAAAGCAAAUUAAUGGCAAAAAAACAGUUCAAAUGCUAAAUACUAAGGAGUCAAAAUUCCUUGCAAAGUGAUUUUUACAGCGUCCAUUUGGUUGAUAUAAAUUCCAAAUGCUCAUAGACGUCAAUGCCUAUAUGAAACUAUCGGUUCAAUCAUAUCGCUUUGAGUUAUAUAGAUUUUGUAAUCCCUCUUUUGAUCGUUUUAAACGCUUUAUCCUGAUUUAGGGGCCGUAGCUCAGCUGGGAGAGCACCUGCUUUGCAAGCAGG
rnacentral:misc_RNA from 1 species